CCUAGGGGUGGCAGCAGUGAGGAAUAUUGGUCAAUGGGCGCGAGCCUGAACCAGCCAAGUAGCGUGAAGGAUGACUGCCCUACGGGUUGUAAACUUCUUUUAUAAAGGAAUAAAGUGAGGCACGUGUGCCUUUUUGUAUGUACUUUAUGAAUAAGGAUCGGCUAACUCCGUGCCAGCAGCCGCGGUAAUACGGAGGAUCCGAGCGUUAUCCGGAUUGAGUGGGGUUAAAGGGAGCGUAGAUGGGUUGUUAAGUCAGUUGUGAAAGUUUGCGGCUCAACCGUAAAAUUGCAAUUGAUACUGGCAGUCUUGAUUACAGUUGCGGUCGGCGUCAUUCGUUGUGUAGCGGUGACAUGCUUCGCUCUCAC
rnacentral:rRNA from 1 species